GAUGAACGCUGGCGGCGUGCCUAAUACAUGCAAGUCGAGCGAACAGACGAGGAGCUUGCUCCUCUGACGUUAGCGGCGGACGGGUGAGUAACACGUGGAUAACCUACCUAUAAGACUGGGAUAACUUCGGGAAACCGGAGCUAAUACCGGAUAAUAUAUUGAACCGCAUGGUUCAAUAGUGAAAGACGGUUUUGCUGUCACUUAUAGAUGGAUCCGCGCCGCAUUAGCUAGUUGGUAAGGUAACGGCUUACCAAGGCAACGAUGCGUAGCCGACCUGAGAGGGUGAGCGGCCACACUGGAACUGAGACACGGUCCAGACUCCUACGGGAGGCAGCAGUAGGGAAUCUUCCGCAAAGGGCGAAAGCCUGACGGAGCAACGCCGCGUGAGUGAUGAAGGUCUUCGGAUCGUAAAACUCUGUUAUUCGGGAAGAACAAAUGUGUAAGUAACUAUGCACGUCUUGACGGUACCUAAUCAGAAAGCCACGGCUAACUACGUG
rnacentral:rRNA from 1 species